rnacentral:misc_RNA from 1 species
CGAUCGCAAAUAAGCGUCUCUAAUCUCGGAUUCUGAAACGACGCGUAGCGCCAUUUUUUAUUGUGGUCAACCUUUAACCGCUGCUUUGAAAUUGAAUUUUCCGUCGCAAUUCGCUAUUUUGAUUUGAAGGCGGUUUUCAUUUAUUUAUUAUCUAAUUAUAGUGCUUUAUUGUGUGUGAAUGUUUUUGUAAACAGUAUAUUAUAAAAGCAAUCAUUUAGUGUUUACCAGUUUAAACGUGUAAUUGUUUUUUUCGUAUAGUUUGAUUUAUUUGAUAAUAUCAUGGUUUAUAAGUGCUCUGUUCCCGGGUGCAGUACUCGAGGCCGAGGUAUUAAAUAUUAUAGUGUGCCGUUCACAAAUAAAAAAAGGUGGGAAGAGUGGUUAAGUUUAUGUCCAUUCCUACAAAAUUAUCCUCCUACUCAACGCGAAAACAUUCGUUUUUGUCAUAAACAUUUUAUUCCCGAACAUAUAAAACAGAAUCUAAGAUUAACACCUAAUGCGAUUCCUUUAGUAAACUUAGGAAAUACAGAUAAAUAUAAAGUUACAAACCGAGAUUUGAUAUUAGAAAUUGAACCCACUAGUAGCAUUACUGAACCCUUUAUUUUUAAAGUAGUUAACCCUUCUGAACUUAAUCGACCCACUAUAGAGCAAAAUUGUUCUAUCAUACAAGAACAUCAAAGUUCUGAGCUGUCUAGCACGGUAUCAAUUCAUGCUUCAUUGAAUGAAGCAAAUAGUAGUACUCCAACUCAAUUUACUCCCAAUAUACCUCACAAUACGCAAUACCCAAUAUGUAUAACCCCUUCCACAUCAACCACCAUUGCUGUGUGUAAUGAGCACAAAUUAAAAAGUCACAGCCUAGUUAAACGUAGAUUAACUAAUCGUAUUAGAUUAAAUCCCAAUGAAUGUACCCCUCGUAAACGAAUUUUACGCUCUUCAAUUCACAUUUUAAAGAAUAAAUUACGUCUCUUGCAAUCAAGGUAUAAAAAGUUAAAGACUAGAUUUGACCUUCAUGCACCAAAAACAAAGGUGUUCUUGAAAAAAUAUAACAUUUUGAGUACAUAUGGGAAAUUAUUAGUAGAUUCACAAUUACGUUUGACUGGUAAUUCAUUAAAAGGUCGCCGUUACACAGACUCAGAAAAAGUUUUUGCUUUAUCAUUAUAUAAGUUAAGCCCUAAGUGCUAUAGAUUUUUACGAAAACAUUUAGCAUUACCAUGUAAAUCCCGAAUUAAUUCUCUACUCAGCAAUAUUCCUUUGAGGCCUGGUAUUAAUGACUUUAUAUUUCAACAUUUGGCAGAUGCUGCCUUGGAUAAACCCGCAAUAGACAGGCAAUGCACAUUAAUGUUUGAUGAAAUGUCCAUUAAAAAACACUUAAAUUUUAAUUUCUUUACUGGGGUCAUUGAAGGUUUUGAAGAUAUAGGUUCUGGCAAACGCACAAACAAUGUGGCUGAUAAAGCUUUAGUUUUUAUGUUACGGGUUUGUUUUCUCCUUGGAAAAUUCCAAUUGCAUUUUAUUUUGCUCGAGAUGGGGUUAAAACAUUUGUUUUAAAAAAUAUUAUUAAAGAAAUAGUAUUAGCAGUUUUUAAAUCUGGAUUCAUAGUAAGAGCUACAAUCAGUGACCAAGGUUCUGCCAAUGUUGCUGCUAUUAAGUCAUUAAUAUCAGAUUCUAAUGCUGAACUCCUACGUAGUAACAAAUAUACCAAUGACAUCUGUUAUAAAAUCGGCCCAAACCAACUGUACCAUAUCUAUGAUGUACCUCAUUUAUUGAAAUGUUUUCGCAAUAAUUUUCAGAAAAAACCUACUCAUUGGCAACCAAAGGGCAAAGUGGGAGUAUAUUGAGAGACUUUAUAAAGUGGAUGGUUUUGGUGGCAGAGCAAGAAGCACCAAACUUACUGAGAAGCACAUAAAUCCAACUUCAUAUGACAAAAUGAAGGUCAUCAGCAAACAUGAAAGGUGUGGAAUGAUGCAAGCAAUUGAUAAUGUCAUUUAUGAACAUAUUAAAAAUAACAGUCCCAAAUGGGAGCCCUGUGGGCACCCCAGAAGCAAUAUGAUGGAAAUUGGAACUAAAACCAUUAAGAACCACAUGGUAAGUGCGACCAGUAAGAUAAGAUUGAAACCAUUCAUACAUGUGCCAAGAGUACCCAUACCCGGAUAACUUCUGCAGCAAGAGUUCGUGAAAAACGUUGUCAAAAGCCUUACUGAAAUUUGUAUAUAUUACAUCAGUUUGCAUGUUAUUGUCUAAGACUUCUGAAAGCAACUCAGUAAAAGAGACCAAAUUAGUGCUUGUUGAGCGAAAUUUAACAAAACCAUGUUGGUGUUCAGUUAAAAAUGGUUUGAAGUAAGCUUCCAGAUAUGGAAAUACUACAAAUUCAAACAAUUUUGCCAUAGUAAAAAAAAAUAGAAAUCGGUCGAUAGUUGGACAUUAAUGUGUUAUUGCCCGACUUGUGUAUCGGCACCACUCUAGCUACCUUCCAUUUCUUUGGAAAAAUUCCGGUUUUCAGUGAUUUUUAUAGAUUUUACAAAGUGGACUAGUCAGAUUUCUUGUUCAUGCAACAAUAAAAUUUGGUGGAAUAUUGUCUGGGCCAGAACCUUUGCUUAUAUCAAGAGUCUUAAGUUUACGUGAAACUUCAUUAAGUGUGAUGUGCAACGACGUAAAACUACGAGUCCAAGUCCGAGGAGUAACUCGCACAGCUAUCCAUGAAAUGAUAAGAAAAAUUCGGGUUAGCAUCGACAUUCGACUCCAUUAGUAUCUUUCUCGUACACUGAUGCAAAGUGCGAAGCAAACAUAUUACAUAUUUCAACUUCUUUGGAACUAACUUGAUUACCAUCGGACAUCGAAGCUGGGAGAAAGCAAGAUCCUCUUCUUUUGGCCUUGAUGAAUGACCAAAAA